AAUAGAUAGAGGAUAAUAGAUAGAGGGUAAUAGAUAGAGGAUAAUAGAUAGAGGGUAAUAGAUAGAGGGUAAUAGAUAGAGAAUAAUAGAGGGUAAUAGAUAGAGGGUAAUAGAUAGAGGGUAAUAGAGGGUAAUAGAUAGAGGGUAAUAGAGGGUAAUAGAUAGAGGGUAAUAGAUAGAGGAUAAUAGAUAGAGGGUAAUAGAUAGAGGGUAAUAGAUAGAGGAUAAUAGAUAGAGGAUAAUAGAUAGAGGGUAAUAGAUAGAGGGUAAUAGAUAGAGAAUAAUAGAGGGUAAUAGAUAGAGGGUAAUAGAUAGAGGGUAAUAGAGGAUAAUAGAUAGAGGGGAAUAGAUAGAGGAUAAUAGAGGGUAAUAGAUAGAGGGUAAUAGAUAGAGGGUAAUAGAUAGAGUAUAAUAGAGGGUAACAGAUAGAGGGUAAUAGAUAGAGUGUAACAGAUAGAGGGUAAUAGAUAGAGGAUAAUAGAUUGAGGGUAACAGAUAGAGGCUAAUAGAGGGUAAUAGAUAGAGGAUAAUAGAGGGUAAUAGAUAGAGGAUAAUAGAUAGAGGAUAAUAGAUAGAGGGUAAUAGAGGGUAAUAGAUAGAGGGUAAUAGAUAGAGGAUAAUAGAUAGAGGGUAAUAGAUAGAGGAUAAUAGAGGGUAAUAGAUAGAGGGUAAUAGAUAGAGGGUAAUAGAUAGAGGAUAAUAGAUAGAGGUAAUAGAUAGAGGGUAAUAGAUAGAGGGUAAUAGAUAGAGGGUAAUAGAUAGAGGGUAAUAGAUAGAGGAUAAUAGAUAGAGGGUAAUAGAUAGAGGAUAAUAGAUAGAGGGUAAUAGAUAGAGGGUAAUAGAGGGUAAUAGAUAGAGGGUAAUAGAGGGUAAUAGAUAAAGUAUAAUAGAGG
ensembl:lncRNA